GUGCGUGUGAUGUGCCAUCAAGCAGUUGUAUGAUGGUCAACAUUUCAGUGCUCCUGUAACACAACCAGGCUGUGGCAGAGGGCAUAUGUAGAUGGCUUCUCCAUUCACUGAGCUGGAGGUGCUGACAAUCAUGUUCUCUCUCCUGGUUUUCGCCCUAUUCACACUUACUGGGAUUCUCAAUGAGGAAUGUGCACACUCGAAUGAGACUAACACACAACCACAAAGUGAGAAGCAUAUCGUCUGACUCCAGAUGAGGUCCGUGACAAAGAAUGACUUCUGCCAUUCAAAGUAUGACGUGUCAGUAAAAGCUUUGAGGACUCUGUGUGUGUGUAUGAGUGUUAGCAGUUGCCAGAACAAAGUCUAAAUGGUAGCCUCUGGGUGUGUGUGUUUACUUUGUUAUAGGAUCCAGUGUUAUUUGCUUCCGGGAAGAGGCCAGAGUCAGGAGGCAAGGAGUGGCCUAGAUAUGGGACACUGUAAAAAAAAAAAAAAAAAAAUCAAUAAAUAAACGCCUACUUUGUCAAACUGUAACAAGACAGUAUCUCGUGCCUGCUUUCUUUCUUCUUUGAGAAUCUGUUUGUAUGUGGAGAUACACACAAAUCCUUUUAUUCUGAUCUUCACAUUUGGAAAUAGGGAUCUUCAGAUGCUGGGAUUCUUCUUCUGGUCUAUGUUUUGUUUUUGCAAGAAUAACAACACAGCAAGAUCACAAAAGCUUGGCUUCAGUCUGCAUCCAGCCCGAAGGAGCCCAGCCAGAAAACGGUGUCUAUCAAGCAGAGAGGUCAAGAACAUUUAACAG